AUGUGGAUCCAUGGGUUUGCGGUGGCGGACAUUGCCCCAACGAUUGUUGCAGCAGUGGAGACCCACGUCAGAAACAGACGCAUGGUUGAGCAAGCUUUGGAUAACAGCAGGUGGACACAGGAUGUGAGAGGAGAUCUAUCUUUCACUGCGCAUAUGCAACUCCUGCAUUUGAAUCAUGCUCUACACACGGUCGACCAAGAUGCAGGUGGCCCAGAUGUAUUCUCAUGGCCUUGUGACCCUUCAGGAAUGUAUAUAGCCAGAUCCACCUAUCAACGACUCUGCAAUGGUGGUGUGACAGCUCCUUUCGCCGCUUGCAUCUGGAAGAGUUGGGCACCACUUAAGUGCAAACUUUUUGCGUGGCUGGCUAUUCAGCAUCGCGUGUGGACCUCUAACAAGAGAGCACGCCAUGGGCUGCAGGACCAACCAUAA
rnacentral:rRNA from 1 species